AUGUUUCCUUCAGCAGCACAUAUAGUAAAAUUGGAACAGUAUAGAGAAGACUAGCAUGGCCCCUGUGCAAGGAUGACAUGCAAAUUCUUUAAGCAUUCCAUAUUUUU